CAGUCGCGUCUGUCGGAAUCAACUUCUCGAUAGUGGUUUGUGGGCUUUGUUCUCGCGAUAUCCGCGUUCUUUUGGUGCACUUCCUCGUAUUGUAGGUUAGCAUCGGUUUUGAGGUUACAAAAUGAUCGGAGGAAUGUGGCUUCGAUUUUUGGUGGAGUGCUAUAGACUC
rnacentral:rRNA from 1 species